AAUAAAAGAGUAUUCUCAAGUUCUUGAUGCUAAGAAAGAUUUUGGUGUAUUUUAAUGCCAGGAGUGUUUAAGAAAAUGUUUAUGAGUGCAUCAGAUCUAGGGCCAGGUGAGGCUGAGAGCUUCCAGCAGGGCUGUGGUUGGUUUCUAAUGCACUGCCUUUACAGUUCUGGGACCUGCUUUUAAAACACUCCCAUCACAGGAUAAAACUUGUCUUGGAGGACUACAAGGAGAUCUUUGAGGCUUUGCCAUUCCCAGACAAGCAGAGAAUUACCGAUAUCUUUGAUACCAUCCCCAUGACUGUCGCUGGUGUGGUGGGUUACCUGGAGUCAUCUUCUCCAUAUCAAACCUUUAUGAAGAGUGACCCUGAAGCCGCGAAAUCCCUUCUCCAAGAGGCAGAAAAGAGGAUGCUGGAGGUGAUGGGAGUUUCUUCUCGUGAGACCCCAGUGGAGCUCUGGGUGAGGCACGUCUGUGUGCUGGGAUGCAAGGCACAGUGAGAGGAAGCCUGUCCCCUGAGCUGUGCUGCAAGGAAGGAAGGCAACAGUGGGUUAUCUCCUAAUAGCCCACUUGGUGCCACUCUUAUUCCUUGGGAAGAUUAAUCUGGGGGUUUAAGGUUUGGAUCUGUGGGAAGCAGACAAGGGCUUAUGGCAGCUCUUGGGCUCCUGUCCAGCUUGGUCCUGCAGUCUCCCAGGGCUGCAUGGGCAGGGUCCUGUUCCAGACUGGUGCUUGGGCUGCACGUGCGGAUGAGAAUCACAGGAACAGCUGAGAAACUUCUGCACUUGUGACAGAGCUGGAAUAAAACCAGCUGAGAACAAGCUGCUGUGGUUCCUCGUGUGUAAGAGGCUGCAGAGCACCUGCUGCCAUGGGAAUGACUGCACUCCAUGGUCACACUGCUUCCCUAGGCCCUGGCUGUACCAUGGGGCACAUGGGCUGUAGGUAGAAAGGGCUGUUUGCCCUUCCCAUGCCCAGGCUCAGCUGGGAGCUGUGUGCUGCCCCUUAAGGAUGUGCAGGAAAGGGGCUGUUCUCACCCCCUGUGUGCCCAUCCCUGGUGCUCUGGCUGGUGCGGGUGUAGCAGCAGCUCCUCUGCCCCGGGCUUGCCCAGCAUGGCUGCUCCAGCCCUCAGCAGCUUUCUUGCCCACAGCACACUCGGGACCCUUUGUGCUUGUUGCCACAGGGCCAGCAGCCCAUUGGUGUGCAAAGGGAAGGUUAGAGGCUGUGUUGUGUGGUGGGGCACAUAGAGGCGAGUGGAUUCGCCGCUGGGCACAGCAAGGCACAGGUGCCCUCCUGUUUGCCUUCGGGGUAUUGUCAGUCCCGUCACAGCCUCUGCUGGGAUCUUCCCUUUCCUGUAACUCCUGCACUUGGCAGGAACGCUGCCUGAUGCCAUGGGAGGCUUGUGGCCUCUCUUGGUUCCACCUCGGUGCGUGGGUAAGAAAGGCAGAGCCGAUCCCUGUGCUCCUGCCUCCGAGCGCUCCCGGAGGAGGCUCGUGGGGCUGCAGGUGUUUGAGUGCGGUUCGGGGC